UUGAACUCCUGACCUCAAGUGAUCCACCCACCUCGGCCUCCGAAAGUGCUGGGAUUAGGUGUGAGCCACUGCACCUGGCCCACCCCCCAGAUUUCUUCUGUCAUGGUCAAUUUGCCAAGGGAGUUUCUCUAUAAGGCCAUGAUGCAGGUUGGAGACAAGAGCUUCUUACUGCCUUUCAACUGGUCAAAGGUGUGAUCAACUUUGGAGUAUCCUUAUGGAAGAGGAUACAAUAAAAUUGAUUAUACAGAAUUUUUAAAGAAGAUAUUGCCCAAUUUGCCAACCUCGAGGUUAAAGAAAAAGAAAAACAAACAAAACAAAAACAGACUCUCCCAUGUGGACAGAAGGAAGUUUUCUCUGUUUAUACAGGAUGGGAAACUUUUCUGCUGUCUCUUUACUAUUGCUACUCUUCUUAGAAAUGAGUAACAAAGGUAUUGGAGCCACUGAUUUCUCAAAGACCAAGAGCUAGAGGAAAAUAAUUCAUUUUCAUUUAUUCCAUAUCCUUCUAUCCAUCCACUCUUCUGUUUGACCAACAUUUUGAAUUGACUACUAUGUGUUCACCAGCAAACAAGGAAGAAUCUGGCUUUUGUAAUCUAUAAUCGUACCAAGGCUUAAACCUUACUUUUAAACAAAUACCAGAAUUUUAAAAUUAUAACUGAGGCUUUUUUUUUUUUUUUUCAGAAUAGUCAUCUUGGAAAAUUAUUAGGAAUUUAUUCCAAGAGGUUCUUUGUUCAAUAGUCUUCUGGAAAUCCCUUUAGAGACUGAUUCUAGAGCUUCUGAGCCACACCAAAAAAAUUAGUCUCAUUAUUUUCAGAACUUUACCAAAAAAGGGUUCUUCCCAGUUUGAUCAGCCAUUUUCUUUCCCUACCUUGGCUCCAAAGUCAAACCCACCCUUGGAGGAUGGGAAUGUGCUGCCCAGGGAUGAGAGGAGCUGUUGACAGACAGGGGUUUGGCCCAGGGUGAGAGCACUGGACAUGCUUCUGACACAUCCUUCAAGACAAGUCUUAUAAGUCCUAUAUGGUUGCCUUUCUAAAAACUUACAGUGUUUUAUAGGUCACUAUGUGCUGACCUGCUCAACAUGGUCAAAAUGCUUAGACAUGCUGCAUAAUAAGGCACCCUCUAGUGGAGUCACCUUGUACAUUAGCAUAAUAAGGGUUCUGAGAAGUCUUGCAGUAAAGGAAACUGUUAAACUUAGUGUUUACCAAACUUAAAGGGCCUGCUGCUCUUCUUCAUGGAACACCUAUUAUCAUCCAACAAUUUUUGAAACAUCCUUAGAGGCAAGUCCUAUAAAUCCAGAUUUUCAUGAAGGCCGAGCAGUACAGGAAGAGAUUCCCUUCCCACGGACUCACACCCAGCAGACAAGUGUCUGCACAGCCUUCUGCGCUCCCCUGCUCUUUUCUUCAAUGUAACCUCCUCCGAAAGACCUUCCCUAGUCAUUCCUCUUUUGUUGCUCUCUGCUACAACUUUCUUUGUCACAAUCUGAUUCUCGGUUUUGUCUGUGUUUCCCACCAGAAUGUAGGCUCCAUGAGGGCAGCAACUGAUUUGCUCCUGUGUUCCCAGUACCUAGCACCACAUAUGUGACACACAGAAAGUAUAAAGCAUGAGUUGGUUGGUUGCUUGAUGAAACUGAUGAGUGGGAAGCCAUGAGCCCUCAUGGACCAUGGUGCAGCUGCACCUUUCUGCCCCAUCUCCCAUGCCGGGAAUAGCACAGUUUUGCUUCUCUGGUCUACUGGAUACUAUCAGAGCAGAGUUUGCUCAGCAAAACAGUCCAGAUAACCUGGUGAUCAUCCAAGAAGCCACAAGGCAAUCCUUUCAAAGAUGCCCAAGACUAUUUUACAAAAUAUGCCUAAAAACAGGGUGGUAUAAAAUCAGAUUCCUUAAAGCAGCAGAGCCAACUCAUCUUGGGCUUUUGGACAACCUCUCUUUCAGGAGUCCUGAGAGAGGGGCCCUGGCCAUCAUAAAGCUCCUCCAUAUUCCCUCUAGGCACAGACUUCUGCCAGGCCUGCAGACAGAGCUUAGGAUAAAGAACCAAAGGUCUGGCCUGUCUCAAGGCCCAUAGAUGUGCACUCUGCAGGUGGAAUGGCCGUCCGGUGCUUACUUUGACUGUCCUCGGGUCCCGAGUCUUCUGGUGGUUAACUGAGGAAACUGCUGCCUUAUGAUCUGUAAGUCAACACAAGAAUCAGUUACCCAUUGGGAAGAGUUGGGAGCACAGUGACUGAGUUAUACAAACAGCCAUCUACAGAAGGGAGGAAAACAUAGGUCCUUGGUUGCAAUGACUUAAUAGGAGUCUGUGAGGACCCUGGAGAAGACUACUGGUGUCAGAGUGGGGAGUGCUUGGAUGGUUGUGGGGCUCUGGAUACUAAAGGGGUCACACUUGGCCACUCUGUGCUUCACCCCCUCCUACUCACAAUGGAAGGAGAAUUCUGGUUGGUCUAGAACAUGCCGCUCCCCUGUUUAAAACCCUCCAGUGGUUUCCAUGGCACCUGGAACUAAAACCCAAACUUAGCCUCUGUAACUCAUCCUGCUUACCUGGCCGCCUUCUCUUACAAUUCUCACCUUUACUCACCAGAUCCCAGCCACACUGGCUUUUUAUUGUUUUCUCUAUUACUGAAACACAUGGGCAUUGCUCCACAUGGUGGGGUGGCAGGGAGGGGGGCUUUGUACUACAGCCAGGAGUGGAAUUUCACUCAGCUCUUCACAAGACUGCCUCCUCUUAAACCAUUCAGGCGUCUGGACAAUGUCCAUCUGCCCAGAGGUCUUCUCGACCAGCCAGUGUGGAGUACCACAAGGGUCACAUGGCCCUGCUUUGUCUUCUUAUCACUUAGCACUAUCUGAAGUUAUCUUGUUCCCUUACUCUCUGGGUGCUUAGUUUAUGUCUCCUCCUACUUGAACACAUGCUCCAUGAGAGCAAGGACCUCAUGCAGGGUUUGGCACAUGCAAAGACCUCAAUCCACAUUUGUUGAAUGAGGGAAUGAAAGCCUGGGGGUAUCUUUUUUCUGUCUGCAGAGCAGAGGAUGAUAAUUGCUGUUGCCCAGGACAGCCACAUCAAUUCACAAGAAAUCUGUGAAGAGAGAGCAUCUCUCAAGGGAUUUUUCGAAUGUAACAAAGACUCCCUUCCCUCCUGGUACAGCAUUGAGCAGGCAUGCAUGGUCAGAGAGAGUAAGCCUUCAUGAGAAGAGAUGCUGUUGCUGAUUUCUUAUUGGUAGGGUAUAAGCCUUGAGUGUUUUCUCUAGGGAUGGGGGUGAAUCUCUAUUCAUCUAUUCACCCCUCUUUUAUCCACAUCAAUACUCUCAUUGAUUGAUUUACUCACUCACUCAACAAAUAUAGACUAUGACCCUGUUAGCUGUUUGAACUUGGACAUACUAUUUAACCUCUCUGUGCCUGAAUUUCCUCCUGUGACAUUUGAGGACUAAGGGGUUGUGUAGUCUUCCCCUAAUCGGAGGGCUAGGUGUUGGUGAUCUCAACUAAAAUGGCAUCAGUGGGAUCGACAGAAGUGCACAAA